rnacentral:piRNA from 1 species
UAGGGUCUCCUUGAUUUAAACCUGAAUCAU